GUGGACACGAGGUCGGCCCUUCUCUGUCGGGUCAGCCCCACCUCUGAAGCCACCUGUGCAGGAACAGUGGGGUGCAGCAAGGGAAGAGCCCUGGCAGAGGGCCGGUUCCAAUCCUGCCACAGAACGGCUCCCUCCCGUGGGGAAGGAGGUGAUGUGAUGAGGUGGUCCCUGAGACCCCUCCCGUGGGGAAGGAGGUGAUGUGAUGAGGUGGUCCCUGAGACCCCUCCUGUGGGGAAGGAGGUGAUGUGAUGAGGUGGUCCCUGAGGCCCCUCCUGUGGGGAAGGAGGUGAUGUGAUGAGGUGGUCCCUGAGGCCCCUCCCGUGGGGAAGGAGGUGAUGUGAUGAAGUGGUCCUGAGGCCCCUCCUGUGGGGAAGGAGGUGCUGUGAUGAUAUGGUCCCUGAGACUCCUCCUGUGGGGAAGGAGGUGAUGUGAUGAGGUGGUCCCUGAGGCUCCUCCCGUGGGGAAGGAGGUGAUGUGAUGAGGUGGUCCCUAAGACUCCUCCCGUGGGGAAGGAGGUGAUGUGAUG